AACAGCGAUGGCUGCAAACCCUUGGAGGUGGCAUUGCCAAAAGCGGACGUCAAUAGAUGUAAUGCAAAAAUAGUGUCUUGUGUUCAAAAAAGGUUGGGAAAUACUGAGUGAAAGAAUAGUGCACAAACCAUAGGCACACAGCUCAAGGAAUUAUCAGGAAUUGAACAUGUCCACGUGUGCCCAACCCAGCUCUCCAGCACACCUUCCCAGCCUCAACCCAUCAUCUGGAUUCUGAGGUAAAUAAUCACCAGCUCCUGGAGGGGCUCGUGGGUAGGUAUGGAGAGAGAUGAGCAAUGGUCUACACAGAUGACAGAACAUAUCCACAUCCCUAAGGAAUUGGCUCAGGCAAUGGUGAAGAUUUGGCAAGUCCAAAAUCUGAUGGAGGAGUCUGGCGGGAUGGAGACUCCGAAAAGAGUUGCAGUUUGAGUCAAAAGGCAAGCUGUCAGUGAGCUAGGAAGAGCCGACGAUGUUGCAGUUCAAGUCCAAAGACCCUCUGCCAGCAAACUUCCCUCCUGCUCGGAGGAGCUAAAUCUUUUGUUCUAUUUAAGCCUUCACCUAAUUGGAUAAGGCCCACCUGCAUUAUGGAGCUCAUCUGCUCUACUCAAAUCUACUAAUUUGAAUGCUAAUCUCAUCCAAAAACACUGUCACAGAUACAUUCAGAAUAAUAUUUGGCCAAUAUCUCGGCCCAAUCAAGUUGACACAUAAAGUUAACCUCCACAAGGGCUGCAUCUGAAAUCCUAGAUGGGAACACUUCGGAGAGGUACCAGCAGGUUCCUCGACUCACUCCUAGGGCCCCUUGUGCUAAGGCUUUUCUGUGGCUCUCAAGCCAUUUCCAGGAAUUGAGUAGAAACUCUCUCUCUCUCUCUCUCUCUCCCCACCCAAACAAUAUUCCCUGAAAGCUAUUAAUUCCUGCAAGCAGGAGCUCAACUCAAACAAAUGUUUCUAUAAAUGGCCAGUCAGCAAUGGGCGGCUUGGGAGAUGUGGCAUCUUGUCCCUGGGGACCUUCAGUAAGAGAAUGCAAAUCAUCUGUUCCGUUGCGUCUAGCCAGGGCACCCACUGGCUUAUGCAGGAGCCUGCGCCAGAUGUUUUCCUGAGGUCUCUUCUUGCUCAAGGAUCUGAUGACACCAACUCUUCAUUUCUUCUGAAUCAACAGCUGCUGAUUUCAUUCAAAUAAUCUAAUUUGAAAUUCUGUUUCUGGAACACAGACAGCUUCAUCCGCCCAGGCAGAACAAAGGAAGUGGAACAGGGGCCUUAAUAGGAGAUAUUUUGAGUGUUUUCAGACAUAGAAGUCAACAAUCUGUUCAUUCAUAAGGGCUCUGACCUCUUGUUUUGAAGGAAAACAGGAAAAACAAGCUGGGUACAAAGAACAUAAAUAUUUUACUUUCACCCAUUCUCCAAUCUGGGCUGAAACAGGAAACAAAUGUCUCCUCUCCACCUUCCCCACCUCCAAACACAUCUGUGAGAAGCAACGUGGAGAUCAGAUGAUGGAAGUGGAUUUAAAAAGUAAUUUGCCACUUUUCAAGAAAUAUAA
rnacentral:lncRNA from 1 species